UGACUGUGAGGCUUACUCGCCGAGCAGGGACGAAAGUCGGGCUUAGUGACCUUCUGAUCCCGAGUGGAAGGGUCAGGAAUCAUCGGAUAAAAGCUACCCCGGGGAUAACAGGCUUAUCACGCCCAAGCGUUCACAGCGACGGCGUGGUUUGGCACCUCAACAACAUGGGGUGAGAUGGCGGAAACGCCAUUCACGCACCGGCUUAUAACGGUGGACUCCUAUCGUGUCGCGCAAGUGGCGACCGAGGACAACACCGUGGGAAGUCUGUCCAAGGAACAGCGAUCACUCAUCAUCGGAUCGCUGCUGGGCGAUGGCGCAAUGCGCUGCAAGGCCAACGCGCUGAUCGAGUUCAACCAUGGAGCCCACCAGCGCUCGUAUGUUGACUGGAAGUACCAGCAACUGAGUGCUUUGGUGGGAACGCCACCGAAGCUCCAUUUUGGAAACGGUGGGCGUAUAGUUUACCGGUUCACGACAUUGAGUCUUCCCGAGUUGACGCCCUUCUAUUGGUCGUUCUACUCGGAUCGACGAAAGUCGGUUCCAGAAGUCGAGCUCACGCCGCUCUCUCUAGCGGUGUGGUUCAUGGAUGACGGAUCAAAGAGCUACCGGGCUCUUUAUCUGAACACCCAGCAGUUUGAUCUCGAGAGUCAGCAUCGCCUUCUAGCGAUGUUGGCGAAACAGUGGUCGAUCCGAGCAACUUUGAAUCGCGACAAGACCUACUAUCGGAUUCGUAUUGCGGUAGAGAGCGUCGCGCGAUUCAUUGAAAUCGUCCAGCCUCACAUGCUGGAAGAAAUGCUCUACAAGUUCCCUGGACAUGACCCUGUAACGACUGAUCCACUGAAGAGUGGUGAGAUGUCGCUCCGCUUCGAACGAAGCAAUCUAUGAGCGUCAUCAAACGCCGGCCCCUCGCUCUUACGAGCAGGGUGGAGAGAUAGUCUGCACCGUCGGUAACGACGGAGAUUGCGCGAUGUCGGCUCGUCGCAUCCUGGGGGGGCAGUACCUCCCAAGGGUUGGGCUGUUCGCCCAUUAAAGCGGUACGCGAGCUGGGUUCAGAACGUUGUGAAACAGUUCGAGAUUGAGCUGUUGUCUCUCACGCAAUGUUCGUAGUGCCUGUUAAUGAAUGAGAGCUCGGCAACGCAAGCCGAGAACAAAUCUGGCUAAAUGCUGGAAACUCCGUGAAUCCUCCGCUACUGCGUAAGCAGUGAAAACGCGAGAGGUGCGGACAAUCAGCAGGAAAGACCGAUCGAACGAUCGGAAUCCUCACAGGCCAUACGCCGGACUCGACGUGAGUCGAGAAGAUAUGGUCGGAUCCCUGCGGCGACGCAGGGUGCCAGCGAAAACUAGAAAUCAGCUGGCCUAGUAACAAGAAGUCGGUCUCUAUCCAGUGUGCGCGCAGGUGAGUUGAGAGGAGUUGCCCCCAGUACGAGAGGACCGGGGUGAGCGGACCGAUGGUGUACGAGUUGUCCUGCCAAGGGCACCGCUCGGUAGCUAUGUCCGUUCCGGAUAACCGCUGAAAGCAUCUAAGUGGGAAGCCGACCUCGAGAUGAGCUCACCCUCUGGGUAACCA
rnacentral:rRNA from 1 species